UACGUAGGUGGCAAGCGUUGUCCGGAUUUACUGGGCGUAAAGAGCGCGCAGGCGGUCGGAUAAGUCGAAUGUGAAAGCCCCCCGGCUCAACUGGGGAGGGUCACGCGAUACUGAUCGACUCGAAGGCAGGAGAGGGAAGUGGAAUUCCCGGUGUAGUGGUGAAAUGCGUAGAUAUCGGGAGGAACACCAGUGGCGAAGGCGACUUCCUGGCCUGUUCUUGACGCUGAGGCGCGAAAGCUAGGGGAGCAAACGGGG
rnacentral:rRNA from 1 species